AUUGAACGCUGGCGGCAUGCUUUACACAUGCAAGUCGAACGGUAACAGGUUAAGCUGACGAGUGGCGAACGGGUGAGUAAUGCAUCGGAACGUGCCCGGUCGUGGGGGAUAACGCAGCGAAGGCUGCGCUAAUACCGCAUACGAUCUGAGGAUGAAAGCGGGGGACCGUAAGGCCUCGCGCGAUCGGAGCGGCCGAUGUCAGAUUAGGUAGUUGGUGGGGUAAAGGCUCACCAAGCCAACGAUCUGUAGCUGGUCUGAGAGGACGGCCAGCCACACUGGGACUGAGACACGGCCCAGACUCCUACGGGAGGCAGCAGUGGGGAAUUUUGGACAAUGGGCGAAAGCCUGAUCCAGCAAUGCCGCGUGCAGGAAGAAGGCCGUCGGGUUGUAAACUGCUUUUGUACGGAGCGAAAAGGUCUCCUCUAAUACAGGGGGCUCAUGACGGUACCGUAAGAAUAAGCCCCGGCUAACUUCGUGCCAGCAGUCGCAGUAA
rnacentral:rRNA from 1 species